CCCAGACUCCUACGGGAGGCAGCAGUGGGGAAUAUUGCACAAUGGGGGAAACCCUGAUGCAGCGACGCCGCGUGAGCGAUGAAGUAUUUCGGUAUGUAAAGCUCUAUCAGCGGGGAAGAAGAUGACGGUACCUGACUAAGAAGCCCCGGCUAACUACGUGCCAGCAGCCGCGGUAAUACGUAGGGGGCAAGCGUUAUCCGGAUUCACUGGGUGUAAAGGGAGCGUAGACGGCGACGCAAGUCUGGAGUGAAAGCCCGGGGCCCAACCCCGGGACUGCUCUGGAAACUGCGUCGCUGGAGUACGGGAGGGGCAGGCGGAAUUCCUGGUGUAGCGGUGAAAUGCGUAGAUAUCAGGAGGAACACCGGCGGCGAAGGCGGCCUGCUGGACCGUGACUGACGUUGAGGCUCGAGAGCGUGGGGAGCAAACAGGAUUAGAUACCCGUGUAA
rnacentral:rRNA from 1 species